AUUGAACGCUGGCGGCAGGCCUAACACAUGCAAGUCGAGCGGAUGAAGGGAGCUUGCUCCUGGAUUCAGCGGCGGACGGGUGAGUAAUGCCUAGGAAUCUGCCUGGUAGUGGGGGAUAACGUCCGGAAACGGGCGCUAAUACCGCAUACGUCCUGAGGGAGAAAGUGGGGGAUCUUCGGACCUCACGCUAUCAGAUGAGCCUAGGUCGGAUUAGCUAGUUGGUGGGGUAAAGGCCUACCAAGGCGACGAUCCGUAACUGGUCUGAGAGGAUGAUCAGUCACCCUGGAACUGAGACACGGUCCAGACUCCUACGGGAGGCAGCAGUGGGGAAUAUUGGACAAUGGGCGAAAGCCUGAUCCAGCCAUGCCGGGUGUGUGAAGAAGGUCCUCGGAUUGGAAAGCACUUUAAGUUGGGAGGAAGGGCAGUAAGUUAAUACCUUGCUGUUUUGACGGUACCAACAGAAUAAGCACCGGCUAACUUCGUG
rnacentral:rRNA from 1 species